UACGGAGGGAGCUAGCGUUAUUCGGAAUUACUGGGCGUAAAGCGCACGUAGGCGGAUUUUUAAGUCAGGGGUGAAAUCCCGAGGCUCAACCUCGGAACUGCCUUUGAUACUGGAGAUCUUGAGUCCGGAAGAGGUAAGUGGAACUGCGAGUGUAGAGGUGAAAUUCGUAGAUAUUCGCAAGAACACCAGUGGCGAAGGCGGCUUACUGGUCCGGAACUGACGCUGAGGUGCGAAAGCGUGGGGAGCAAACAGG
rnacentral:rRNA from 1 species